UACGUAGGCAGCGAGCGUUUGUCCGGAAUUAUUGGGCGUAAAGGGCUCGUAGGCGGUUUGUCGCGUCGGGAGUGAAAACCUACAGCUUAACUGUGGGCUUGCUUUCGAUACGGGCAGACUUGAGGCAUGCAGGGGAGAACGGAAUUCCUGGUGUAGCGGUGAAAUGACGCAGAUAUCAGGAGGAACACCGGUGGCGAAGGCGGUUCUCUGGGCAUGUUCUGACGCUGAGGAGCGAAAGUGUGGGGAGCGAACAGG
rnacentral:rRNA from 1 species